GGUACCACCAAGGGACAAUGCCAUCUGUCACCAGGGACCUGGUUCAUGGAUAAUAGCACACCUCUCAGCCAGGACCUGGGGCCCACAGGUCAAAGUGUGGGCCCCAGGACAAGUCACCAUGUAGCUGGGAGGUCCUCUGCAGCUGCACGAUCCAGGGAGAAGGCCUCCAGGCUGGCAUUUGGUCCCUGCAGGUCAAGCCAAAGCAAAGGGGGUCAGGGAUGCUAGAAGCCUGAGAUGCCCCAGCAAAGCAGAGACUGCAGUGAGCCCCUCUGCCCUACCACAGCCCAGCCGGGCUAGCCAGGCCUGCCGGCCUGGGAGUUGGCCCCCCAACCUGGGUACUCACCGGCUCCGGCAAGGCCUCCUCCUGGCGUGGUGGCAGGC